UCCGAGUGAAUAGAUUCCGAGUGAACCAGUUUUCGAGUGUCCUCACAGCCUUUAUUCCUGCUGGGAUUCUUUCAAUGGUUGGAGUUAUCUAUUCUCACAGUUUAACUGGAAGCCUUGCGAUUCGCCUGUGUUUUUACUCAAAGCCACAGCCCUCUGAUGAAUGUUAUAAGGUGAUGCUGCUCCCCAUGAGAUCAUGGUCGGCCACAUCGUCCCCUGUGUCUGUGGGGAGCAGCCCGCCAAGCUGGGCAGCGUGGUUACCUCGGUCUCGGGUUCCUCAUGUGUGUCUCUUCAGUGCACUCAGCUACAGUUUUCUUGGAUUUUCCACAGAAAAGAUUGUUUUGACCUGGAUCGAAACCCCAGAGAUUUCAUUUCUGUUCUGAAUUCCAAAUGACCUGGAAGCUUGCGUGACAUCUAUUAGAUGCCAUUGCCGAGGAUCUAUUUAAGGAUGAAGAAAAUAAUUUUUUUCUGUAAAUCCUCGAUAAAACCAAACCACCAAACAGUCAAUAGAUCCUUGCUUCGGAAAUUGGAGACAUCUUUGAAGAAAAGGUCUUUCAAUAUUGUAACUGAAUACAGGAACUUUCCUAGCAAGUAAUUUUUUGUAGUUUUAAAAGUAAUAUGUGUCAAGAAUGUUCUGUUAAGCUUAAUAGGAAAAUAUGCACAUGUAAAUGGCUGUAAAAGAAAAAGUGAACUACCACUGAGGCUGGCUGAACUAUAGAAAUUAUAGAAGCUUGGAAACUAUGACAAAAACCAAAAGAAAUUGGUGGUGGUGCUGGUGAUGCUGGGUGUGAAAUGCUGUUCCCAGCACAGUCCAUGCCAGGGAGGAGGGCUGGGCAGGACCCAGGGAUGAGCAAGGGAGCAGCCAGCCCAGGUGGAUACUGCUGGUAAAGCUAAAGGUGCACGUGUAGAUAGAAUGUUAGGAUUUUUUUCAUAAGUGUUUCAGGAAUUUAAAUAGCUGUCUAUACCCAGCCUGCUGGGAUCAUUACCUCUGGAGCAUGUUUAGGUGGGUUUUUUUAUAUUUGUAGCAUUAUCCUUGGUUGAAACAAAAUUAAUUGUUAGAACAAACACUGGUAUCUUCAGAACACCCUUCUUUAGGUAUCCUGUUUAGCACUUAAGUUUGCAUAUAACCCGAUCAUGCAGCAGUGACUGCUGAGUUGUGUGAAUUUUUGCAUUAUUUCUAUAAACAGGCCCCUUGCAAAACAGAAGAAUUCAAACACUGAUGCAGUUGGGAAAAUAAAUUGUUUAGCUUUACCUUCACAGUGUGGCUGUUCAUACUUCUGUGACUGAUAGCACCAAUGGCCUCCAACUAAAAAAAAAAAUCAGAUAUUGAAGAUUAGAGGAAUGAAAAGCUGUACAAAUUGUCCCCCCAAAAAGCAGAUGUGAGAUGCAUUCGCAACUUGAGUCCUCACAGAGUGAUAACUGGGCACACAGUUUUGACAACCUCUUGUUUUUGUCUGCCUGCUUUUGUUAGAGCCACUUAAGAGAUUUCUUAAAUAUAUAAACAGAUGCUGGUAGAGGUGAGUGCUUUGGCUGUCAAGCGCGGAGCACACCAUCCAGCGACUCUAGCUGGGUUCUAAUAUCAAAUAAUUCAGAAGAGAGCAUAAAAAUCCUGUAGUAGGCAGCCCUGUCUCUCUCUAGAUCUCCUCCUGGUCUUGAAUGAAUCAGUUUACACCUGUUAAUAUUCCUUCCAAAAAACGUGAUACUCUGCAUGGGAUGCAGUUCUAAACAUUUGGUUUUGAAACUUUGGCUUCAGCAACUUCUUGACGCGAAAGUUCCACAUCCAAAUAUAUGUAGUAUUAAAAUCCGUUUCCUUUUAUCGGUUCUGUACUUGCCAUCCUUUCAUAUACUUGUAAAUUCAGUUGCGCGAGAUGACUUAUCUCACUCCGUUCCAGGAACUGUUUGAAAGAUUACUUGGUGCAAUAAGGAAUUUUAAGAAAUGAAGGAUCUUAUUUCCUGAAAGACAUGAAGAGUCUUUAUUCUAACUCAGCUGUGAUCCCCCACAGGCGGCUGCAAAAUUUCUCAGUAGUAUGUCUUAAUCUUACUUCUUGGUUGUCAGAAGAAAUGAGAAAUUCAGAGGCAGAGAGUUGAUUUAACUUAAGUGUGUGUCGAUCUAGUCAGGAAAGCGAGCGCUAUUGCGUUUAUCGCAGCAUACUUCAAUGGCUGUUUAUGACAGUUAUGAAGUUUAAAUGGACUUUAACAGGAAUAGUUCUCUGGCUAUUAAACUUUAAUCGAUAACAAUUCAAACUCUCUUAUAAUAAUGAUUAAUGCUAUAGUUUCUGUUUGCCUAUGAUUAGUAAAUUAUAGACAUUUUAAUAAAUGGCUAAUCAGUUUUUAGGGAUUAUUAUGGAGGGGUCUGGCCAUUAGAUUGCUAACUACCAUAAUUUGUGGUGUUUUAUAAUACAUCUGCUGGAAAGCUCACAACCACUUUUAACACCUCUAUCUUCAUAUCAAUGGCAUAGCAAUACCAUCCACCUAUUAAGUAUUUAGAAUAAGUCAUAAACAGAACCUUGAUAUAAAUUGUGGCAAGCUGUAACAACAGAGGAGACUUGGAUAAGCUUGUGGCGAUUAAAACAUUACCAUUUUUCAAGAUUAUUUUAGUUAAUCUCUCAAAAAUUAAAUUCAUGCUGAAAACUAUAAAUGAU